rnacentral:lncRNA from 12 species
AUUAAAAAAUGCCUUCACAAAGUGCCUGCUAGGAGCGUAACUGCUGCUGGACCUAAAGAAGAGAUGUUUUCAGCCACUCUGAAAGGACAGCAAGAAGAGCCCGUUUCAGGCUGGCCUCGUGCCAGGUGCCACUUCCC